CAGCAGUCGCCACGGUAAUACGGAGGGUGCAAGCGUUAUCCGGAUUUAUUGGGUUUAAAGGGUCCGUAGGCGGAUCUGUAAGUCAGUGGUGAAAUCUCACAGCUUAACUGUGAAACUGCCAUUGAUACUGCAGGUCUUGAGUAAAUUUGAAGUGGCUGGAAUAAGUAGUGUAGCGGUGAAAUGCAUAGAUAUUACUUAGAACACCAAUUGCGAAGGCAGGUCACUAAGAUUUAACUGACGCUGAUGGACGAAAGCGUGGGGAGCGAACAGGAUUAGAUACCCGGGUAGUCCCUGUCUCUUAUAC
rnacentral:rRNA from 1 species